UCCUACGGGGGGCAGCAGUGGGGAAUAUUGCGCAAUGGGCGAAAGCCUGACGCAGCGACGCCUCGUGAGGGAUGAAGGUCUUCGGAUCGUAAACCUCUGUCAAGAGGGAAGAAACCUUUGGAUUCGAACAGGGUCCUUAGCUGACGGUACCUCUAAAGGAAGCACCGGCUAACUCCGUGCCAGCAGCCGCGGUAAUACGGAGGGUGCAAGCGUUAAUCGGAAUCACUGGGCGUAAAGCGCUCGUAGGCGGUUUGGUCAGUCAGACGUGAAAUCCCGCAGCUUAACUGCGGAACUGCGUUUGAUACUGCCAGACUUGAGUGUCGGAGAGGGUGGCGGAAUUCCGGGUGUAGGAGUGAAAUCCGUAGAUAUCCGGAGGAACACCAGUGGCGAAGGCGGCCACCUGGACGACAACUGACGCUGAGGAGCGAAAGCGUGGGUAGCAAACAGGAUUAGAUACCCCUGUAGUCCA
rnacentral:rRNA from 1 species